rnacentral:rRNA from 1 species
GUGUCAGCCGCCGCGGUAAUACGUAGGUGGCGAGCGUUGUCCGGAAUUACUGGGUGUAAAGGGCGUGUAGGCGGGGAUGCAAGUCAGAUGUGAAAUGCCGGGGCUUAACUCCGGAGCUGCAUCUGAAACUGUGUUUCUUGAGUGUCGGGGAGGAAAGCGGAAUUCCCAGUGUAGCGGAUAAAUGCGUAGAUAUUGGGAGGAACACCAGUGGCGGAGGCGGCUUUCUGGACG